AUACGGAGGGUGCAAGCGUUAAUCGGAAUUACUGGGCGUAAAGCGUGCGUAGGUGGUUUGUUAAGUCAGAUGUGAAAGCCCCGGGCUCAACCUGGGAACUGCAUUUGAAACUGGCAUACUAGAGUAUAGGAGAGGAAAGUGGAAUUUCAGGUGUAGCGGUGAAAUGCGUAGAUAUCUGAAGGAACAUCAAUGGCGAAGGCAGCUUUCUGGACUAAUACUGACACUGAGGUACGAAAGCGUGGGUAGCAAACAGAAUUAGAAACCCUGGUAGUCC
rnacentral:rRNA from 1 species